UACGUAGGGUGCGAGCGUUAAUCGGAAUUACUGGGCGUAAAGGGUGCGCAGGCGGUCCUGCAAGUCAGGCGUGAAAGCCCGGGGCUUAACCCCGGAAUUGCACCUCAAACUACAUGGCUAGAGCAUUGGAGAGGGUAGCGGAAUUCACGGUGUAGCAGUGAAAUGCGUAGAUAUCGUGAGGAACACCAGAGGCGAAGGCGGCUACCUGGACAAUUGCUGACGCUCAGGCACGAAAGCGUGGGGAGCAAAAGGG
rnacentral:rRNA from 1 species